rnacentral:sRNA from 1 species
UACCUAAACCUUCGGGCAUGGUAGAAAAAACAGUCAAAAGCGUAGAAACCUCUCCGUCAGGUAACUUUUGACUGUCAUGACUGGAAACUAUCAUGGGGUAGAAAUACCU